GUCGAGCUUAGUAACGCGUGCUUGUAACCCGAGUGGGGACACUAAGGUGACGGGACAGGAAUUCAAUUGACUGGAUCGGGUCUAAAGUUGGCAUUAUGUUGGCCCGCCCUAUCCAAGUUGGGAGUUGGUUCAUGUGGUCUGGCGAAAGCUUGAUCUUCAUGGGCCCUAAAGUGGAGGGGACCGCGUGAGGCUGGUUUCACAGAGCAACGAAAACCUCCCGCUCUUGUCAGUGGAAGGAUAACGGGCUUGCGCCUCUUAGGCCCAAUAGUAUCCAGUUGAAUGAUCCUCCAUUGGACCGUCAUUUUU
rfam:Spinacia oleracea cultivar SynViroflay scaffold65652.con0003.1, whole genome shotgun sequence.